GGUCGCUUAACUCAGUUGGUUAGAGUGUCGUACUAAUACGCCGGUUCCCGGUCCCUGAAAUGCGAAAGUCGCCAGUUCGAUCCUGGUAGUGACCA